rnacentral:rRNA from 1 species
CCUACGGGAGGCAGCAGUGAGGAAUAUUGGUCAAUGGACGAGAGUCUGAACCAGCCAAGUAGCGUGAAGGAUGACUGCCCUAUGGGUUGUAAACUUCUUUUAUAUGGGAAUAAAACGUUCCACGUGUGGGAUUUUGUAUGUACCAUAUGAAUAAGGAUCGGCUAACUCCGUGCCAGCAGCCGCGGUAAUACGGAGGAUCCGAGCGUUAUCCGGAUUUAUUGGGUUUAAAGGGAGCGUAGGUGGAUUGUUAAGUCAGUUGUGAAAGUUUGCGGCUCCACCGUAAAAUUGCAGUUGAAACUGGCAGUCUUGAGUACAGUAGAGGUGGGCGGAAUUCGUGUUGUAGCGGUGAAAUGCUUAGAUAUCACGAAGAACUCCGAUUGCGCAGGCAGUUCACUGGACUGCAACUGACACUGAGGCUCGAAAGUGUGGGUAUCAAACAGGAUUAGAUACCCGUGUAGUC